rnacentral:lncRNA from 12 species
UUUGCUCCCCCUGCAGUCACAGCCCACACUCCUUUUGUUCCUGAAAUAACGGGCAGUCCCUGCGUACAUGCCCUGCCUCCUUUUUCAGAUGGGAAUGUGAAUACAAACCUAACAAAGUCUUGCAAUGAAGACAUUAGGGGAGAGGAACAAGUUUCUUCUGACUAACCAUGCUCCAAGGUGGGGGGAUGUGUUUGGUCAACAUGGAAGAGACUUUUCCUUCCCCCAUCUUGUACAUCCAGGUAGGACGAGCAGCACCCUACAGCCAGGGGAUCUCUGGGACGUUCCCUAAGAUUUACCAGCACCCGUCCCACUUUCAGCUGGAGAAACAAAGGCCGAAAGCAGAAGUGGCUACAGAGACUUGGAGCACCACCCGAUGGAACAUGCAGAAACCUCCAGGAAAUCAAGAGUGCCCUUGCUUUCCUUUGUCUUCUUGGAAGAAAAAUCCUGUGGCACUGAAGACUGGCAGGACUUGAUCAGCUGGAGGAGCCCCC